rnacentral:rRNA from 1 species
AUUGAACGCUGGCGGCAUGCUUUACACAUGCAAGUCGAACGGCAGCGCGGGCUUCGGCCUGGCUGCGAGUGGCGAACGGGUGAGUAAUGCAUCGGAACGUGCCCAGUAGUGGGGGAUAGCCCGGCGAAAGCCGGAUUAAUACCGCAUACGACCUGAGGGUGAAAGCGGGGGAGCGAAAGGCCUCGCGCUCUUGGAGCGGCCGAUGUCGGAUUAGCUAGUUGGUGGGGUAAAGGCUUACCAAGGCGACGAUCCGUAGCUGGUCUGAGAAGACGACCGGCCACACUGGGACUGAGACACGGCCCAGACUCCUACGGGAGGCAGCAGUGGGGAAUUUUGGACAAUGGGGGCAACCCUGAUCCAGCCAUGCCGCGUGCGGGAAGAAGGCCUUCGGGUUGUAAACCGCUUUUGUUCGGGAAGAAAUGCUCUGGGCUAAUACCCCGGGGGGAUGACGGUACCGGAAGAAUAAGCACCGGCUAACUACGUG